CUCGAUAAGACGUUAGUUCUCGUCCUGCUGGCAGAACCCACAGAAACGCGGUUCACAAGUUGUAAACGAUUGAAAUCUACCCACAAAGUAGAGUGGCAUGUACCCUUUGUAAACCAAUUUAAUAUUUUAUUAAAUCAAACUUAAAAUAUUACAAAGUAAAAAUAGACAGUUUUGUUAACUAGUGGAUUGCAAAAUAUAUCCUAAGGGGAGUAUGGAUUGUGAAUUAAAUAUAACGUUCAUCUUCUCGUUAUCGCGUAUCGCUGACGUCGACCAGUGACUGAAAACAACGUGUUAUUUUCGUCUGAGAGCCUUGGUUGAUCCAACUGAGAAUCCUGUUGCCUGGUAGUUUUCGUUUCUUUUUGGAAAAUAUGGAUUCUACUCAGCAUUCGUUAUAAUUCCGCAAAUAAUUUAAGUGACAAUGGGAAUGCAUACUACUGCAGCUUUUCAAAAAUGAUUUUCCUGCUGGCGUGCAAACCGUAACUUUCUCUUAUUUUGACAAAACAAUUCAAUAACGUAUGCAUUCCGGCCUUUGGAUGAUUCACCGCCUACUUUCUCCAUGCAUGACACUACUCCCAGCGACACGUUGAUGAAAAUUGGCAUAUUCUAGUCAAAAUAUUUAAAAAACAACUUGUAGUUGGUUUCACAUCAGCCGCUCGGACUUAAGCAGGCGCAGGGAAUUCUGAGUGUCAAUUCGACCUCAAAGAACAGCCGUUCGCAGUACCGGCAUUAGGGUAACGCGCGGUUGGGCGACCGUCCAGGAGAGCCGGACUUUAAAGGGCGCCGAUUCGCAUUUGGCCGGUUUUUUUUCGUAUGGGUUUGAUUUGCAGUUAGGGGGCGCCGUAGAAAUCUCGCCCAGGGCGCUGGUAGUGCUAAAACCGGCACUGGCCGUACGUGUACCAAAUUGCAACUUAUUGCAGUUUGAAGAAUUGCGUUUCUUUUCAU